CUUUCACUGAUUGGUGGAGCAAAUACGAAGCAGGCUGUGCAGAACAUAUUAGAAAGAUUGAUGUCUAAUAGACUGAUGUCUAAAUUCAACUCAAAGGGAGUUAAAGGGAAGCUAUCGUUUGAAUCAUCAGAGACAUUCAAAGUUGUAAUUGCUAGUGCCAUGAAGGGAAACAAUGAUAUUACAGAACACCAAGUCAAGGAAGUUAUCAGCUACCACCUGAAAUACGCCCCAUACAGGAAAGGAGGUGGAAAAAGAUACCUUGACAAUAAUCAAUAAUUUUUUUUAAUGACAUGCUAAGGAUGCCUCACGCUUAGGACCUGCGGAUAAAUGUUUUGUGGCUUAUCCCAUUACCAAACAAUAACGGGAUUUUACGGGAUUGUUGCAGACGAAUCUUGAAAUAAUAGUGAUACAAGGAGAAAUUGCUCAUGAUGAACAAUUUCUCCUUUGAUCACAAUGAUUUCUUCCCUACCACAUUAAUUUCUCCAUAUUCCAUUACAAUUUUGUUAGCCUUCCAAAACCUCUUUCAAUUUCUGAGUGUCCAAAAUUUGCCAUUUGGUAAAGGGUUAAAGUGCUUAUUGGUAUGAAGGAUUAAUGAAGCUGUACAACAAUCUUUUACACAUUUAAUUUCACCGAUUUCUCGAUAUCUUUUAACCCUGUUUAAACAUUUAUUCAUGAUUUUCAUGUAAUGACGAACACUGUUUAAUAGUUUUGUAUUAAAUAUGAUAUUGCAAGACAAUUACAAAUGCCAUC